rnacentral:rRNA from 1 species
UACGUAGGGUGCAAGCGUUAAUCGGAAUCACUGGGCGUAAAGGGCGCGUAGGUGGCGCGGAAAGUCAACGGUGAAAGCUUGGGGCUCAACCCCGAGUCGGCCGUCGAUACUUCUGGGCUUGAGCACUGUAGAGGCAGGUGGAAUUCCGGGUGUAGCGGUGGAAUGCGUAGAGAUCCGGAAGAACACCGGUGGCGAAGGCGGCCCCCUGGUUGGAUACUGACGCUGAGACGCGAAAGCGUGGGGAGCAAACAGG